GAUGAACGCUGGCGGCGUGCCUAAUACAUGCAAGUCGAGCGAACAGACGCGGCGCUUGCUCCUUUGACGUUAGCGGAGGACGGGUGAGUAACACGUAUGUCACCUCCCUGUCAGACUGGGAACACUACGGAAAACGGGCGCUUAUACCGGAUAAUAUUCCGAACCACAUGGUUCGAUAGAGAAAGAUGGCUUUGCUAUCACUUCUCGAUGGACCUGGGCCGUAUUGGCUGGUUGGUAAGGUCACGGCUUACCAAGGCAACGAUACGUAACCGACCUGCGAGGGUGAUCGGCCACCCGGGAGCGGAGACGCCGACCAUACUCCUACGGGAGGCAGCAGUAGGGAAUCUGCGGCAACGGUCGAGAGCCUGACGGAGCAACGCCGAGUGUGUGAUGAAGGCCCUCGGAUCGUGAUACUCGGUUAUUAGUUAAGAACAAACGUGUAAUGAACUGUGCACGGCGUGACGGUACCGAAUCAGAAAGCCACGGCUAACUACGUG
rnacentral:rRNA from 1 species